rnacentral:rRNA from 1 species
GACGAACGCUGGCGGCGUGCUUAACACAUGCAAGUCGAACGGAAAGGCCCUGCUUUUGUUGGGUGCUCGAUUGGCGAACGGGUGAGUAACACGUGAGUAACCUGCCCUUGACUUUGGGAUAACUUCAGGAAACUGGGGCUAAUACCGGAUAGGAGCUCCUGCUGCAUGGUGGGGGUUGGAGAGUUUCGGCGGUUGUGGAUGGACUCGCGGCUUAUCAGCUUGUUGGUGGGGUAGUUGCUUACCAAGGCUUUGACGGGUAGCCGGCCUGAGAGGGUGACCGGCGACAUUGGGACUGAGAGACGGCCCAGACUCCUACGGGAGGCAGCAGUGGGGAAUAUUGCACAAUGGGCGGAAGCCUGAUGCAGAAACGCCGGGUGCGGGAUGACGGCCUUCGGGUUGUAAACCGCUUUCGCCUGUGACGAAGCGUGAGUGACGGUAAUGGGUAAAGAAGCACCGGCUAACUACGUG